CCCUUAGAGUUUGAUCCUGGCUCAGGAUGAACGCUAGCGGCAGGCUUAACACAUGCAAGUCGAGGGGCAGCGGGGAGUAGCAGUACUCCGCCGGCGACCGGCGCACGGGUGCGUAACGCGUAUGCAACCUACCUUUAACAGGGGCAUAACACUGAGAAAUUGGUACUAAUUCCCCAUAACAUUCGAGAAGGCAUCUUCUUGGGUUAAAAACUCCGGUGGUUAAAGAUGGGCAUGCGUUGUAUUAGCUAGUUGGUGAGGUAACGGCUCACCAAGGCGACGAUACAUAGGGGGACUGAGAGGUUAACCCCCCACAUUGGUACUGAGACACGGACCAAACUCCUACGGGAGGCAGCAGUGAGGAAUAUUGGUCAAUGGACGCAAGUCUGAACCAGCCAUGCCGCGUGCAGGAAGACGGCUCUAUGAGUUGUAAACUGCUUUGUACUAGGGUAAACGCUCUU
rnacentral:rRNA from 1 species